UACGUAGGUGGCAAGCGUUGUCCGGAUUUACUGGGCGUAAAGCGAACGCAGGCGGACCUUUAAGUAGGAAGUGAAAGGUUGGAGCUCAACUCUAACACUGCUCCCUAUACUGGAGGUCUUGAGUGUCGGAGAGGAAGGCGGAACUGCAGGUGUAGCGGUGAAAUGCGUUGAUAUCUGCAGGAACACCAAUGGCGAAAGCAGCCUUCUGGACGAAUACUGACGCUGAGGUUCGAAAGCCAAGGUAGCAAACAGG
rnacentral:rRNA from 1 species